rnacentral:rRNA from 1 species
AUUGAACGCUGGCGGCAGGCCUAACACAUGCAAGUCGAGCGGAUGACGGGAGCUUGCUCCUUGAUUCAGCGGCGGACGGGUGAGUAAUGCCUAGGAAUCUGCCUGGUAGUGGGGGACAACGUUUCGAAAGGAACGCUAAUACCGCAUACGUCCUACGGGAGAAAGCAGGGGACCUUCGGGCCUUGCGCUAUCAGAUGAGCCUAGGUCGGAUUAGCUAGUAGGUGAGGUAAUGGCUCACCUAGGCGACGAUCCGUAACUGGUCUGAGAGGAUGAUCAGUCACACUGGAACUGAGACACGGACAAGACUCCGACGGGAGGCAGCAGUGGGGAAUAUUGGACAAUGGGCGAAAGCCUGAUCCAGCCAUGCCGCGUGUGUGAAGAAGGUCUUCGGAUUGUAAAGCACUUUAAGUUGGGAGGAAGGGCAGUAAGUUAAUACCUUGCUGUUUUGACGUUACCGGCAGAAUAAGCACCGGCUAACUCUGUGCCAGCCGCCGCCGUAA